ACGCUACGUGCCAUGUUUUGAGCACAACACUAAUUCCAAAUACCAUCUAUGUUCAGACUUGGUUCUCACUGGCUAUGGAUUUGCUGAUGGCAGAUGCCUGGUGGAGCAGUUUGAAGGGAUCCAUCGUGAAGGGAUUUUACCAUCAAGUAGCAAAUAGUCUACACAUAGACUGUAGAAAGUAGAAAUGAGUCGAGAUACUGUAGUCUACCCAGAUGCUUUGAGUGGAUGAAAACAAUAAGCCAGAAGAAAUGGCCAGGCGAUGAAAUGAUGGGAAGAGUGACACCACAUCUGUUCUGUUGGCUUCUGAGUGGUUAUCACACCGUCAGCCCCGGUGUUUUCAAAAAGCCUUGUUCAUCUGGAAGCCUCCCCUUCUCCUUGAGGAGCAGCUGGCACUGCCCUGGCUGAAGAGCUGGGCUGCUAGAGAGCGGAUUCCAGAAGCUGGCGCCUGGUGUCCAUAUAAGAAGAAGAGACAAGAGGAAUGUGUAUGUACAGAGGAGCGGCCAUGAGGAAACACAGCCAGAGGGCAGCCAUCUACAAGCCCAAGAGAGGGGCCUCAGGAGAAACCAACCCUACCAACACCUUGAUCUUGGACUUCCAGCCUCC